UUUUUCCCCUCCUUUCAACUUCCCGGUGUAACUUUGAUUACAACUCCAGAAGCUCCCCGGACCAGGCCACCAGCCUCCAAUGAGAGCCUGCCUACUUCGGCCUUAGGGUAGGCAGGAGAGGGGUGGCCCACGGGAGGCUAGUUGGAAGCGAGUCCUGAAGUCGCUCCCGCCGCCCUCCGCGCCCUAAGUCCCUCCUCGCUUUAAGGCGGAGGCCGGGAGGGGGCCGACCCCGCCCGCCGGCUCGGCGCGCGCCUCCAGACUCCGGCAUUUCCUCCCCGCUAGCUGGCGCGGCCUCGCCUUCCCUCGGAAGAGGAAACUCCCGGGUCGAGUAACGGGAACCAGCGCGGAGCGGAGCGGCGGGGGACCCCGGGGGCCCAGCGGCGCCGGGAGGGCGGCCCGGGGUCGGAGGCGAGCGCGGCGGGACCAGAAGCUGGCCGCGGGCGGCGCGCCGGGGCGCGGGGCGGGGAGCGCCGCCGGGCCGGACGCCGCGCGCAGCCGGAGCAGGGCGCGGCCGGGAGCCGGGGCGUGUAGAGAGGGCCGCAGCUGGAAGGAACGCUUGAGCUGGGAGAAGAGGCCGAGCUGGAGGGUGGCUUUCCCCCGCCCUGCGACGGGAGCGCCGCAGCGGAGACGAAGGAGACCCGGACGGCGGGGCUGCCCGGGCGCUGCGCGCAUGCUGGGCUGGGGGCGCUGCCCGGGCUCGCGCCCUGGGCUGCUCGGCCGUCGCUGCCCCGGACGCCCGGCAUGUCGGUGCACUACACCCUCAAUCUGCGCGUCUUCUGGCCCUUGGUGACCGGCCUGUGCACCACCCUCGUGUGCCUCUACCAUGUCCUGCGAGGAAGCGGGGGCGCCCGGGCCGAGCCCCCCGACAGCGCGGACGGCGGCUUCCCUCUGCUCAAGGUGGCAGUCCUGCUCCUCCUCGGCUACAUCCUCCUGCGCUGUCGCCACGCUGUCCGGCAGCGCUUCCUGCCUGGAUCUCCCCGCCUGGGGGGCCACUCGGCCUUUUCUCCUGGACACUUCGGAGAGCCCAGCCUCGACAUCUUGCUGGAGAGUUACUAUGAGCACGAGGUGCGCCUGUCGCCGCACGUGCUGGGCCACAGCAAGGCACACGUGAGCCGGAUCGUGGGCGAGCUGGUGCGGGCUGGCCGCGCCCGGGGGUCCCCAGGCCCCAUCCCAGGGGGAGCGCUGGCCUUGGCCUUCCGUGGAGACUUCAUCCAGGUGGGCAGCGCCUACGAGCAGCAUAAAAUUCGCCGGCCCGACAGCUUCGACGUGCUGGUGCCGCUGCGCCUCCCGCCCUUGGUGGCGCUGGAACCUCGGAGCCUGGGCGCGGAGCCCGAGCUGGCCCCAGCGGUCCACGGCUGCUUCGUGUGCGCGCUCAAGGCACCGCCAGGAGCCUCCGGGGGCCAAUGGUUUCGGGACUGCAAACCCUUCGCAGAUGGCUUCUGUGUGGAUGUGCGCGGGCGGCGCCACCUCUCGGCCACGCUGGUGCUGCGCUGGUUCCAGUCGCAUCUGCAGCGCUCCCUGGCCACCGUGCGCUAUAGCCUAGAGGGGCGAUGUCGGGUCAGCCUGACCCCGGGCAGCCUGGAGCAGCCUCCCACCCUACACAUCCUGCCCUGCCGCACCGAUUACGGCUGCUGCCGCCUUUCCAUGGCCGUGCGUCUUAUCCCUGCCGUCCAUUUGGGCGACAACGUCUUCCUGGUGGCACCACCGCCGCCACCCUCACCAGUCGGGCCGAUGUCAGAGCUCCCGGGAGGCCUGCGCGCGGAUGCACUGUGGGGCGUGAACACAGCGCGCCAGGAGCAGAAGCUGCUGAGCUGGCUGCAGGAAAGGGCCCCUCCAGGUGCCUGCUACCUCAAGUGCCUGCAGUUGCUUAAAGCUCUGAGAGACCUGGGCGCCCGCGGGCUGGACCCGACGGCCGCCAUCCAGUGGGGACGCAUCUUGUCCUCAUAUGUGCUCAAGACGGUGCUGCUGGCGGUGCUGCUGCGCGAGGGUGUUCCUGCCCGAGCCUGGGACGAGGUGCACCUGGGCGAGCGCUUGGAAGAGCUAGUAAAAUUCCUUAGGGACUGCCUGCUGCGACGCCGUACGCUCUUCCACUGCGUCCUGGGCCCUGGCGGGGCGGCCGCGGAGGUUGGCCCACUGCCCAAGGUAUUGCGUGAAGCAGCCCCGGUUGACCUCCUGGCCGCUUUCGACAGACAUGCCAGGGAACUCGCAGCAGCACGGUUGCUGUCCACGUGGCGAAGGCUGCCCCAGCUUCUCCGGGCCUAUGGUGGUCCCCGAUACCUUGCCAGGUGCUCCCCACCCCGGAGUCAGCGCACCCAGGGGUUCCCAGAAGAUGAACCAUAAUCCCUGACAGCGCUCCCACCUGGCCUGGUGCUCCCAAAGCCUGACCCACCAGGUGGGAGUGGGGAUGGCAAUGAAGUCAGUUUAAGGCAAGGAAGAUGGCCUGCAGAAGGUACUGGAACAUUCAGAGGGUGACUUUUGGUGGCUUCAGCAUCACCCCUGGCUCCACAGUCUGGUAGAGUGUGUCUUGGGCAAGCUACACAAAGACAUCCAGCGUCAGCAGCUAAGAGUUGGUCCAGAUGUUGGUUUGUGUGGGAUGAUUCUGUAGAAAGAUCCAGCUUUUAGGGAAGUAAGAACUAGCUGCUGGAACAGUUCCCUCACCCUCGGGCUCCCCAGUUGAAAGAGGCUAAUGUGGGGUUUUUUGGACACAACUAUUUGGUUAAUUACCCAAAGCCUCAUCCAUCCUCAAGAUUUUCAAACUUUAUUUUUUUUUUGUAAAUGAAUGGGCAUUGUGUUUAUGGAUUUUAAAAAUACGAUUGUUUUAUUUAAAUGCCAUGCUGAGCAGUUGUUCUCUGUUCAUGGUAACCAAAACCUGAAGCGAUUUCCAUCAGUUUUGAUCACUGUUUAGUUAUCCAAAACAUGUACUGUGUACAAAUGAAAUAAUAUGGCAUAUUAGCCAGGUUUCAUGGUUGCCCAAGGCAUUUAAUGGAAGCUCAGUUUUGUAUUUUAUUAAGGCUCCAGCAUAUGCUUGAUCUGAAAUGUGUACAUUUUUGGUGUAUACUUGGUACUAGAGAUUCCUGUAUGCAAAUAUCCUCAUAUAUAAGAAGGCUCAACAUUGUUCGUGCUUUGAAAAAAAAAAAAGAUGAAUUGUCCAGCCAGCGCCCAAAGGAAACGUUGUUUUUUGGGAAGAUGACUCAGCCACUUUGCCUUGAGACACCCUUCAGUAACCCCCGCUGGACCAGUCUUGGGAGGCAUCCUGGAAUGCUCGUGGGCUGAGACAAGGAGAUGUUUUUCUGCAAAAUGAAACUGAAGCGGGAAGAAGGGAGAGUGUCAGCAAACCAAGAGAAAUCUGAAGAUUUCAAGAAGGAGGACUCAGAUGGGCGUGAAAGGAGGAGAUGAAAGUAGGGGAGGUGAGGUGGAAAUCGUAGGGUGCGACAGAGGUUUGGGUGAGGAAGUACAUUUUUAGAUAUGUGCUGUUUCCAACCAGGGGUCGCAAACUCAGCAGCCUGCAGAAGGAGGUUGGGAGGUAAAUGGGGGGGGGGGUGAUGGGGAGGAAGCUGUGUUCAGGGGGCCCCCCUGGUUUGGCUCCAUGCAGGGAAAAGGGUAGGGUGGGAAAUUUUUUUUUUAAUCAGGAUUUUUUUUUUUUAAAGGACACGCUCUCAUUUUUCAACCACAUAAUUUAAAAAUAUCCAAAACCCAUGUGGGCCAAAAAAAAAAAAUAUAUAUAUGGUUAAGCCUGGGGGCCACCAGUUUGCGACCCCUGUCUUCCACAGUUAAGCCCUCCAGUAUGUAUCAGGUUAUGUUUAUUCUUAUGGAUAUGAGGUUCUUAGCAUGGGGGGAUGAUAUGUCGAGUCUUCUUUAUUUUCAGAGUUAAGCUUUAUUGUAGAAACAAACCCCCUCAAAUUAACAUGGCCACAGAUAACCCUGGACUCACAAUUCCCAGAAGCAGUCUCCAUCCUGGAGCUUUAGGAGUCAGAUCUUACAUCAAACCCCUGGGGACCAGUUCUUGGCAUUUCCUUCCUGGUGCAGUUGGGGCUAAAGUCCUAGACUCUGUCCCGAGUUUGCAGAUGAGUAAUCAGGAAGGAUUGCAGAAUAACUGGUUUCUUCUUUAUUUGCAUUUUAUUCUUAUUUUUCGAUUUAUUAUUAUUAUUAUUAUUUUUUGUCUUUUUGCUAU